UGUGUGGGGGGUGGGGCAGUGAAGGUGGAUCUUGCAUUCUCCCUAGGCGGGGAAAUCUCCUGCGGCCAAUGGGAUUGCGCGGUCCAGCGAGUUCCCAGGUGUUCCGGCGAUCAUGGAGUUUUUGAUGCAGCCGAUAAACAGAACACUGCUAGAGGAGGUCAAUGAUAACAACAGCACCGUUGAGCCUGUUCGGUUCCCGGUCAUCGUGCCGGCGGAGGUGGAGAUGCCAGUACUGGCGGCUUCAAGUGCAGACGGCCAAAUCUGUCGUGAGGGCGCUGCUGGAGAGCCUGCAAGUGCAGAUAAGGCUCAAUGUUCAGGGUACUCCAUAGAGCAAGUGGAUCCAAAAACUCCAGGGUGGACACAAAGGUCCACAGCCCUGAAGAAGUCCGUCCUGAUCCGUGGUACAGGAUUUAUGCUUUUCCUGUAACUAUGCUAGCAGCCAAGUAAAUGCAAGCAUGGGUCGAUGGAGCAGCUGUCUCCUACCUCGCUAGCGUGGAUCCUUCUUUUCUCAAGAGCGGCGAUCCGGUGGAAACACCGUCUGUGAGAGGGCGCCUGCGGCUAUCGGCAAAGAUGGAGUUCUUGAUGCAGUCGAUUAACAGGAGUAUCCAGAAGAACUGUUGUAGAGGAGGUGAAUGAUAGUGACAUACCCAUGGAGCCCCUGAUGGCACCGCAUGGGGGCAAGCUGCCGGCCAUGACGGCAUCAAGUGCGGACAGGCAGAUAUGUGCGGCAGAGGCAGCGA